GGUCAGGAUUGGAGAAGCUUAUUACGUACGUUUCUUUUACUCUCUCUCUCUCUCUCUCUCUCUCUUAAUCUCUCAUCCAUCGAUCCUUCUCUCAUUCGUAAACCCUAAAAGUCGAAUCGCCUCUUCAGAAGCUCAAUCAAUCGACCCUGUGCGACAACGAUUAAUCCAUCUUCAAUACUCAAUAGUGAAUAUCGACGGUAUAUAUUUGAUGAUGUUCAGUUCAUAUCUGAGAACAAUGUCUGGCAAUUAUUAGAGCCAGAUGUGAAAACUUGCUGGAGAAAAGAUUCCGGUGUACCUACCGGCGAGUACGAACCGUUUCCUAAACAGUGGAAGUGAUUUCUCUAAUGGAGUUUAAUGCUUUGCAAAGUUUAUUUCAGGGUUUGUGACUACAAAUCGGAUACAUGACCCCAAUUUUUCCGAGAAUGAAUUUUUUUUGUUAUUAAAAUUUAGCUUAAUCGACGGGGAUGUUUCGAAUCGACCAAUGGAAUAAUCUUGGAAGUGAAGCCAUUGCUGUCCAACUGUUAGAUCAGGUUCAUCGUUUAGGGUCCCAAAGGUAUGAUUUCAUUUUCUAACUAACUAGGGUUUUCAUUCCAUUCUGUAUUUUACUCAUUUGAUAGACCCUUUUUUGAUCUCCCAUUCAUUCCAUUCUAUAACUGAAACAUGGGUUCAUUCCAUAUUCAAUAUCAUAACUGAAAUCCUGGGUUCAUUCCAAAAUUGAAGCGGUAAGUUACAAAACUUGAAGUCGGGUUUCAUUCAAAAUCUCAAAUCGCCAAUUAUUUAAAUCAAUAAAAAAGAUGGUAGUUGUAUAAUCAAUAAUCCUGGGUUCAUUCCAUAAUCAGUUUGUUUGUAAGAGUGUCUUUUGUGCCAUUGGAAUUUUUUUGGCUAGACAGUGAAAUUUGGUAUCAUAGAUUGACCACCUUUUACAAUGAUGAUAUGAUUAAAAAAAUAAAAAUAAGAGGUUGACAUAUGACAAUGGGCAGGUGUUGAUCAAAUAUGCAGAACUUACUGAGAAGGAAAAGGUUAGAUCUUUUCAUGUGAAAUUCAUUUUUAUAUUUAUGAGUGGAAUUUGGGUUUGUGGGUUGGGACAUUAUUUCAAAAUCCUUCAUGGAGUAAUGAGAGUAGAUUGGGUGAGGUAGGAUGAUAAGAGGAUAUUUAGGGAUGGUUGCGUGAUAGGAAGGAAGUUGGAGCUUUUUCUGCUGUACGUACAUUUGUAUCAUUUUCCGUUUUUUGGUAGUUGUAUAUAUAUAUCAUCGAAAUUCGAUUACAUAUGUGUUUCUUUUCUGGCCCGUAUUCCUUUGAGCUGGAAUUCUUGAUUUGAUUUCUUUCGUAAUGUUUGUUUUUUUAUCUUAAGUUUUUGUUUUUUCGAUUAGGUUUGCUGGUGCUCUUCUUCAUUAAUGGCUGCUCAAUUGAUGUUCUUCUUAACCUGGAUUAUGCUUGGUAUGUUUGGAUUUUUAUGUUAUUAUUUGUGUAUCUUAUGUUUUUGUUUGUUAAAACAGGUUUGCUGUUUUGGUGACAUAGCCACAAUUGUGACGGUGGUUCGCGGUGGUUAAUAGCCGCACCUUUGGGUUGCGGUACAAGGGAGAUUGGUGGUGACGACUGCAGCGAGGUUCCAAGUAGCCGAUUUCGGCCCCAACGAGUGAAUCCCUGUCGUUGGUAGGGUUGGUCGUCAGUGCCGGUGGUGUUCGUCAUCGACGUUGUCUUCGUGCAUGCAGUAAAAGUUGUUGAAACUGUCUUCUUUCGAGAACAUUACAAGGGGCUGUCAAUUGCGAAUGAAGGAAGGUAGAGGUGGGAGGACAGCUUGAUUGAAAUCCGUAAGAACAACAGAGGAAAUUCGAAAUACCUUUAUGUAGCGCCAAAGUUAAACAUUAACGAUGCUUCGAUUCGAUCUCUGCUGGCGUAUUCAUAUAUUCUAAUUCAUAGGAAAUUCAUGGUUUUUGUUUCUUUUUUAGUUAUUUAUAUUAGUUCAUAUAUUUUAAUUCGUCUUCUCUAAAGAUACGGAAGUUGCUAAAACAGCAAGAAAACAAGUUUAAGAAGCAAUACACUCGGCAUCAUUCGACAUGAAUGUUCCUGCUGUUUGUGUAGUCAGCCAGACAUUGGCUUGGCGUUUAGAUGCUCCUAAUCUUUAAAACUACCAUGUAUAGUUUCUUAGUGUUUCUCACCGGUUGCAUCUAAUGGACUUAAUUAACGCGGCAACGCCUACUACCUGAUCUUCUCAUCCAGGGUAUUGCCAUGGGAGACAUGAGAUGGGAUAAGAUUGAAGGGAAUUGGAUUUAAGUUGUUUACUAAUGUGUGAUAUCUAGAACAAGCUGACAUUAAAGACAUUUGUUUUACACCUGAAUAUUUAAAAGAGUCUAAAAUAGGUUAUGCCUAAAAAGUGUAAAUUUCCUCCAAAGUAAGAUAAUGAAAAGUAUACAUGCGAAGGACAGUCACGGGAGUUUUUACAAACAUGCUGGCUGGAAACAUAGAUGCCGACUAAUCUACUCA